rnacentral:lncRNA from 1 species
AAGCAGCGGCCCCAGGGACCGGCGCGCACGCCGGGGCCGCGCUCCCGCGGUCACCCCGCGGCUGCUGACAACUGAAUAAACACGCGGAAGCGCUGGGAUCUGUCAGGGCUAGGGCCGCCA